AAAAAUUCUGCUACCAAGCCAGCUCUAAACGCACAGCAGAGGCAAGCGAAAUACAUCCCAAAAUGCCUCCAAAACUACAAGCUACCAAUUCACUGCAUAACAGAAUUCCUGCAAAAUUUCACAGAAGAAAAUAACAAAUUGGAUAGCAGUUUUUUCUAACAAACUUCAUCUAACCUCUCACAACUUUAUAAAAAAAUCUUCACCUCUCUCUAACAAUUUGGAGAGCUUCUUCUUCCUCUCUUCAAAUCCCAACAACCACCUCCAAACUCUAACAACUUCACAAUCCAAAUCUUCAACAACCGUAACCAACUCACAAA
rnacentral:lncRNA from 1 species